UACGUAGGGGGGCUAGCGUUGUCCGGAUUUAUUGGGCGUAAAGAGCGUGUAGGCGGCCAGAUAGGUCUGCUGUGAAAACUCGAGGCUCAACCUCGAGAUGUCGGCGGAAACCAUUUGGCUAGAGUCCGGAAGAGGAAAGUGGAAUUCCUGGUGUAGCGGUGAAAUGCGCAGAUAUCAGGAAGAACACCCGUGGCGAAGGCGGCUUUCUGGGACGGUACUGACGCUGAGACGCGAAAGCGUGGGGAGCGAACAGG
rnacentral:rRNA from 1 species